rnacentral:rRNA from 1 species
CAGCAGUAGCCGCGGUAAUACGAAGGGUGCAAGCGUUAAUCGGAAUUACUGGGCGUAAAGCGCACGCAGGCGGUUUGUUAAGUCAGAUGUGAAAUCCCCGAGCUUAACUUGGGAACUGCAUUUGAAACUGGCAAGCUAGAGUCUUGUAGAGGGGGGUAGAAUUCCAGGUGUAGCGGUGAAAUGCGUAGAGAUCUGGAGGAAUACCGGUGGCGAAGGCGGCCCCCUGGACAAAGACUGACGCUCAGGUGCGAAAGCGUGGGGAGCAAACAGGAUUAGAUACCCGUGUAGUCCCUGUCUCUUAUAA